CCCUUAGAUGUUCUGGGCCGCACACGCGCUACACUGAAGGAGGCAGCGUGUACUCCUGGAUCGAAAGAUUUGGGUAACCCGCGAAUCUCCUUCGUGCUAGGGAUUGAGGUUUGCAAUUAUCCUUCAUGAACGAGGAAUUCCCAGUAAGUGCAAGUCAUAAGCUUGCGCUGACUACGUCCCUGCCCUUUGUACACACCGCCCGUCGCUACUACCGAUUGAAUGAUUUAGUGAGGACUGCGGACUGGGACCGAUGCGGCUUUCGGGCUGCGUCGGUAUUCUGGAAAGAUGUCCAAACUGUAUCAUUUAGAGGAAGUAAAAGUCGUAACA
rnacentral:rRNA from 1 species